AAUCAACGCUGGCGGCGUGCCUCAGACAUGCAAGUCGAACGAUUAAAGCUCUCUUCGGAGAGUGCAUAGAGUGGCGCACGGGUGAGUAACACGUAAGUAAUCUACCUUCGAGUGGGGAAUAACAUCGGGAAACCGAUGCUAAUACCGCAUAAUGCAGCGGCAUCGCAAGAUGACAGUUGUUAAAGGAGCAAUUCGCUUGAAGAGGAGCUUGCGGCAGAUUAGCUAGUUGGUAAGGUAACGGCUUACCAAGGCUACGAUCUGUAUCCGGUCUAAGAGGACGGUCGGACACACUGACACUGAAUAACGGGUCAGACUCCUACGGGAGGCAGCAGUCGGGAAUUUUGGGCAAUGGGCGAAAGCCUGACCCAGCAACGCCGCGUGAAGGAUGAAGUAUUUCGGUAUGUAAACUUCGAAAGAAUAGGAAGAAUAAAUGACGGUACUAUUUAUAAGGUCCGGCUAACUACGUGCCAGCAGCCGCUGUAAU
rnacentral:rRNA from 1 species